rnacentral:misc_RNA from 1 species
AUCGUUGCCCCAGUGCCUUGGCCUUGUGCUAGGCACCGAGCUGGGCGAAUGCUGGCUUCCCGCGAGCAACGCCUCACGGUUGGUUGAAAACAGAGUCCGUGGUGGAGGGAGCCGUGACGGAUGGUGGUUGAGUAAAAGAAAGCUCGAGACCCAUCGUGGGUGUCACAGGCACCGGCAUUGCGACUCUAUGAUCCAUGAGCGUCUGUUGGUCGCCAAGACGGGACCUCAGG